AAUAGUGUGCUUGAUAAAAAAGGCCGUCUUGAUAGGGCGGAUCAUGUGAGACCCUCACCGCUAUUA
rnacentral:tRNA from 1 species